ensembl:lncRNA
UGUGUGCUCAGUUGGCUUCAGUUGUUUCCAACUCUUGCAACUGUAUGGACUUGUAGCCUGCCAGGCUCCUCUGUCCAUGGAAUUCUCCAGCAAAGAAUACUGGAGAGGGUUCCCAUACACUCCUCCAGGGGAUCGUCCCAAACCAGGGAUCGAACCUCAAGUCUCCUGAAAAGUUUCCUGCAUUGCAGGCGGGUUCUUUACUGCUGUGUCAAGAGGAAAGCUCAACUACUACUGUGUAGGGGUUUGCAGUUCCCUGCAAACUGUGGAACUUUGCAUACGGAAGACUUCCCCUUUGAGGUUAUGCCCGAUGGAUGUACCUCUAAGAACUUGAUCACUACAUGGGUUACUAGAUCUAACAAACAUAGCUCAGGGAAGAUAUAUCCUCUUCACUCGUUUUCUGUAAUCACUUCAUAGACAACAGCCUGCAUUAUCUGAUCCUUCUAAGGUCCAGGUGAGGAGCCAGCCUAAUUUUAGAGACUUGGGCCUUGCAAGAUGUCUCAAGUGUCUGAGAUCAAGGCAUUGACAGGGUUGGUUCCCCCUGAAGGGUGUGAGGAAAACUCUUGUGUGCCUGUCUCCCUUCUGGGGCCUGCUGGCAAUUGCUGCCUUGUGGAAGCAUUGCCCAACCUCUGUCUUUAUGUUCACAUGGCAAUAUCCCUGAGUGUCCGUACCUCCUUCCCCCUCCUAAGGAUAGAUCAAGGCCCACCCGAUUCCAGUAUGAAGUUGUCUUGACCCCCGCAGUGGUGCUAUUUUCAAAUAAGGUCUUAUCCUGAGGUACUGGGAUUAGGACCUGGAUGUAUGAUUGGGGCAUAAGGAACACAAUUCAACCCUGCGUAAUGCAGAAGACUGGACCUGCCCAUCUCACCUGUCAUCAGCAUUCUUUCCCAAGCCCAGAGUCCCAACUGCCUAAGCCUCUGAACCCCUUGGAGGGGAAGGAGGCAAAAUUUGACAUUCACUGACAAUAGCUUUUACACCAUAGUGUUUACCACCUGUUCUGGAGUACUUGCCUUUGGGAGAAACGCCCAACCAGGCAGGUGUCCUACCAAAGUAUCAAUGAUUACAAAUGUUGCUCUCCAGCCCAUCCCCAAGUUUGAUUCCCAUUCAAAAAUGCUCAACUGCAGCUUAAAAUGGCAGCUCUUAAAAUAGCCACCAGGAUAUUUGUCAUACUAGGGGGUUACCCAGCGUCUUGUGCUGCCCAGAGAUUUGUGGCCCAAUUCCUUGGCCUGGCUGUUGUGGCCAUACGAAGUACUUCUGUGUCCAAGGGCAGAUGGAGAGUGGUGGUGGCCUGUCGGGGGACUUUCACCUUGAAAGGAUCCAAUACGUUGUUCUCUCUUGUGUGCCGUUUCUCAAGGACUCUAUCAGUUCCCGGAAAACAGGAGCGAGCAGAGCUGUGUGCAGUUCUCAAGACUGAGAUCAUAUGAAUGGGCACCUGCUUGGAUUCCCUUCAGUGACCCCCCUUCAGUGAACUUUCACUUAAAGCAUCAAAGUCUUUUCAAAUGAGUCAGUUCUUCGCAUCAGGUGGCCAAAGUAUGUUUCAGCUUCAGCAUCUGUCAAGCUUCCUCGGGCAUCUCAUCUCCAAGUCUGUUGUGAGGCCCUCUGGCCACCAGGUGGCGCCAAAGGACACCCCUCCGGCCGCUGCCAGGUGGGAAACUAGGG